UACGUAGGUGGCAAGCGUUGUCCGGAUUUACUAGGGCGUAAGAUGCGUAGCGGACAUUUAAGUCCAGAUGUGAAAUACCCGAGCUUAACUUGGGUGCUGCAUUUGAAACUGGGUGUCUAGAGUGCAGGAGAGGUAAGUGGAAUUCCUAGUGUAGCGGUGAAAUGCGUAGAGAUUAGGAAGAACACCAGUGGCGAAGGCGACUUACUGGACUGUAAACUGACGCUGGAGGCAAUGAAAGCGUGGGGAGCAAACAGG
rnacentral:rRNA from 1 species